GUCGACCGCCUGGGGACUACGGCCGCAAGGUUAAAACUCAAAUGAAUUGACGGGGGCCCGCACAAGCGGUGGAGCAUGUGGUUUAAUUCGAUGCAACGCGAAGAACCUUACCUACUCUUGACAUCCAGCGAACUUAGCAGAGAUGCUUUGGUGCCUUCGGGAACGGUGAGACAGGUGCUGCAUGGCUGUCGUCAGCUCGUGUUGUGAAAUGUUGGGUUAAGUCCCGCAACGAGCGCAACCCUUAUCCUUUGUUGCCAGCGAUUCGGUCGGGAACUCAAAGGAGACUGCCGGUGAUAAACCGGAGGAAGGUGGGGAUGACGUCAAGUCAUCAUGGCCCUUACGAGUAGGGCUACACACGUGCUACAAUGGCGCAUACAAAGAGAAGCGACCUCGCGAGAGCAAGCGGACCUCACAAAGUGCGUCGUAGUCCGGAUCGGAGUCUGCAACUCGACUCCGUGAAGUCGGAAUCGCUAGUAAUCGUGAUCAGA
rnacentral:rRNA from 1 species